CUCUCCCGUCCCGUCAGCUAGCUUAUCAGACUGGUGUUGGCUGUUCAAUCACCACGGCAACAGCGGUCUGUAAGCUGGCCGAAGUUAUGGGCCUUCU
ensembl:miRNA MIR21 microRNA 21